rnacentral:rRNA from 1 species
GGAUGAGCGUUGCUUUUGCAUCGCUCCGCACUCCCGGGGCGUCUCGUUGUCAUUGCGACAUGAGGCGCACCUAGAGCGUACACGUUGGGACCCGAAAGAUGGUGAACUAUGCCUGGUCAGGAUGAAGUCAGGGGAAACUCUGAUGGAGGUCCGUAGCGAUUCUGACGUGCAAAUCGAUCGUCGGAACUGGGUAU